GGCCAGACUCCUACGGGAGGCAGCAGUGAGGAAUAUUGGUCAAUGGUCGGGAGACUGAACCAGCCAAGCCGCGUGAGGGAGGAAGGUACAGAGUAUCGUAAACCUCUUUUGUCAGGGAACAAAGGCGGGGACGUGUCCCCGGAUGAGUGUACCUGAAGAAAAAGCAUCGGCUAACUCCGUGCCAGCAGCCGCGGUAAUACGGAGGAUGCGAGCGUUAUCCGGAUUUAUUGGGUUUAAAGGGUGCGCAGGCGGUCUGUUAAGUCAGCGGUCAAAGCCCGGGGCUCAACCCCGGCCUGCCGUCGGAACUGGGUGCCUUGAGUGGGCGAGAAGUAUGCGGAAUGCGUGGUGUAGCGGUGAAAUGCAUAGAUAUCACGCAGAACUCCGAUUGCGAAGGCAGCAUACCGGCGCUCAACUGACGCUCAUGCACGAAAGCGUGGGUAUCGAACAGGAUUAGAUACCCCAGUAA
rnacentral:rRNA from 1 species